rnacentral:rRNA from 1 species
CCUACGGGAGGCAGCAGUGAGGAAUAUUGGUCAAUGGGCGGGAGCCUGAACCAGCCAAGUCGCGUGAGGGAAGACGGUCCUAUGGAUUGUAAACCUCUUUAGGCGGGGAGCAAUGCCGGGCACGCGUGCCCGGAGGGAGAGUACCCGCAGAAUAAGCAACGGCUAACUCCGUGCCAGCAGCCGCGGUAAUACGGAGGAUGCGAGCGUUAUCCGGAUUUAUUGGGUUUAAAGGGUGCGUAGGCGGAUUUUUAAGUCAGCGGUAAAUUGUCCGGGCUCAACCCGGGCCGGCCGUUGAAACUGGGUAUCUUGAGUGGGCGAGAGGUAUGCGGAAGGCGUGGUGUAGCGGUGAAAUGCAUAGAUAUCACGCAGAACUCCGAUUGCGAAGGCAGCAUACCGGCGCCCGACUGACGCUGAGGCAUGAAAGCGUGGGGAUCGAACAGGAUUAGAUACCCCGGUAGUC